rnacentral:tRNA from 4 species
GGGGCAUUAGCACAGUUGGUAGCGCGCAACGUUCGCAAUGUUGAGGUCGGGGGUUCGAAUCCCCCAUGCUCCACCA